CCUACGGGUGGCAGCAGUGAGGAAUAUUGGUCAAUGGGCGCGAGCCUGAACCAGCCAAGUCGCGUGAGGGAAGACGGUCCUAUGGAUUGUAAACCUCUUUUGUCGGGGAGCAAAAGACGCCACGCGUGGCGUUCCGUGAGUACCCGAAGAAAAAGCAUCGGCUAACUCCGUGCCAGCAGCCGCGGUAAUACGGAGGAUGCGAGCGUUAUCCGGAUUUAUUGGGUUUAAAGGGUGCGAAGGCGGAAGAUCAAGUCAGCGGUAAAAUUGAGAGGCUCAACCUCGUCGAGCCGUUGAAACUGGUUGUCUUGAGUGAGCGAGAAGUAGGCGGAAUGCGUGGUGUAGCGGUGAAAUGCAUAGAUAUCACGAAGAACCCCGAUUGCGAAGGCAGCUUACUAAACUGUGACUGACACUGAUGCUCGAAAGUGUGGGGAUCAAACAGGAUUAGAUACCCCAGUAGUC
rnacentral:rRNA from 1 species